rnacentral:rRNA from 1 species
GGAUGAACGCUGGCGGCGUGCUUAACACAUGCAAGUCGAACGAUGAAAGCGGGAGCUUGCUCCUGCUGGAUUAGUGGCGAACGGGUGAGUAACACGUGAGUAACCUGCCCUUGACUCUGGGAUAAGCGUUGGAAACGACGUCUAAUACCGGAUACGACCUUCGGAGGCAUCUCCUGGGGGUGGAAAGAAUUUCGGUCAAGGAUGGACUCGCGGCCUAUCAGCUAGUUGGUGAGGUAAUGGCUCACCAAGGCGGCGACGGGUAGCCGGCCUGAGAGGGUGACCGGCCACACUGGGACUGAGACACGGCCCAGACUCCUACGGGAGGCAGCAGUGGGGAAUAUUGCACAAUGGGCGCAAGCCUGAUGCAGCAACGCCGCGUGAGGGACGACGGCCUUCGGGUUGUAAACCUCUUUUAGUAGGGAAGAAGCGAAAGUGACGGUACCUGCAGAAAAAGCACCGGCUAACUACGUGCCAGCAGCCGCGGUAAUACGUAGGGUGCAAGCGUUAUCCGGAGUUAUUGGGCGUAAAGAGCUCGUAGGCGGUUUGUCACGUCUGCUGUGAAAACUGGAGGCUCAACCUCCAGCCUGCAGUGGGUACGGGCAGACUAGAGUGCGGUAGGGGAGAUUGGAAUUCCUGGUGCAGCGGUGGAAUGCGCAGAUAUCAGGAGGAACACCGUUGGCGAAGGCAGAUCUCUGGGCCGUAACUGACGCUGAGGAGCGAAAGCAUGGGGAGCGAACAGGAUUAGAUACCCUGGUAGUCCAUGCCGUAAACGUUGGGAACUAGAUGUAGGGACCAUUCCACGGUUUCUGUGUCGCAGCUAACGCAUUAAGUUCCCCGCCUGGGGAGUACGGCCGCAAGGCUAAAACUCAAAGGAAUUGACGGGGGCCCGCACAAGCGGCGGAGCAUGCGGAUUAAUUCGAUGCAACGCGAAGAACCUUACCAAGGCUUGACAUAUACCGGAAAAGUUCAGAAAUGUUCUCCCCGCAAGGUCGGUAUACAGGUGGUGCAUGGUUGUCGUCAGCUCGUGUCGUGAGAUGUUGGGUUAAGUCCCGCAACGAGCGCAACCCUCGUUCUAUGUUGCCAGCACGUAAUGGUGGGAACUCAUAGGAGACUGCCGGGGUCAACUCGGAGGAAGGUGGGGAUGACGUCAAAUCAUCAUGCCCCUUAUGUCUUGGGCUUCACGCAUGCUACAAUGGCCGAUACAAAGGGCUGCAAUACCGCGAGGUGGAGCGAAUCCCAAAAAGUCGGUCUCAGUUCGGAUUGAGGUCUGCAACUCGACCUCAUGAAGUCGGAGUCGCUAGUAAUCGCAGAUCAGCAACGCUGCGGUGAAUACGUUCCCGGGCCU